UACGUAGGGGGCAAGCGUUGUCCGGAAUCAUUGGGCGUAAAGCGCGUGUAGGCGGUCCGGUAAGUCCGCUGUGAAAGUCGGGGGCUCAACCCUCGGAUGCCGGUGGAUACUGUCGGGCUUGAGUACGGAAGAGGCGAGUGGAAUUCCUGGUGUAGCGGUGAAAUGCGCAGAUAUCAGGAGGAACACCAAUUGCGAAGGCGGGUCUCUGGGCCGAUACUGACGCUGAGGAGCGAAAGCGUGGGGAGCAAACAGG
rnacentral:rRNA from 1 species